GAAGCGAAGCCGCGAGGUAGAGCAAAUCUCAAAAAGACAUCUCAGUUCAGAUUGCAGGCUGCAACUCGCCUGCAUGAAGUCGGAAUUGCUAGUAAUCGUAGGUCAGCAUACUACGGUGAAUACGUUCCCGGGCCUUGUACACACCGCCCGUCAAACCAUGAGAGUUGGCAACACCCGAAGUCGGUAGUCUAACCGCAAGGAGGACGCCGCCGAAGGUGGGGUUGAUGAUUAGGGUUAAGUCGUAACAAGGUACC
rnacentral:rRNA from 1 species